rnacentral:rRNA from 1 species
CCUACGGGAGGCAGCAGUGGGGAAUCUUGCGCAAUGGGCGAAAGCCUGACGCAGCCAUGCCGCGUGAAUGAUGAAGGUCUUAGGAUUGUAAAAUUCUUUCACCGGGGACGAUAAUGACGGUACCCGGAGAGGAAGCCCCGGCUAACUUCGUGCCAGCAGCCGCGGUAAU